GACGAACGCUGGCGGCGUGCCUAAUACAUGCAAGUAGAACGCUGAAGGAGGAGCUUGCUUCUCUGGAUGAGUUGCGAACGGGUGAGUAACGCGUAGGUAACCUGCCUGGUUGCGGGGGAUAACUAUUGGAAACGAUAGCUAAUACCGCAUAAUAGCAGUUAUUGCAUGAUAACUGUUUGAAAGGUGCAAUUGCACCACUACCAGAUGGACCUGCGUUGUAUUAGCUAGUUGGUGGGGUAACGGCUCACCAAGGCGACGAUACAUAGCCGGCCUGAGAGGGUGAUCGGCCAAACUGGGACUGAGACACGGCCCAGACUCCUACGGGAGGCAGCAGUAGGGGAACAUCGGCAAUUGACGGAAGUCCGACCGAGCAAAGCCGGGUGAGGGAAGGAAGUUCUCGGAUUGGAAAAGUCUGUUGUUAGGGAAGGACGAGUGUGAGAGUGGAAAGUUCACGCUGUGACGGUAUCUUACCAGAAAGCGACGGCUAACUACGUG
rnacentral:rRNA from 1 species